AGCAGCCACGGUAAUUCCAGCUCCAAUAGCGUAUAUUAAAGUUGCUGCAGUUAAAAAGCUCGUAGUUGAAUUUCGGGACCAUCAUGUCGGUCGUGCCUCGGUACGUACUGGCAUUGUUGGUUUCUUCCUUCUGACGAACCAUGAUGUCAUUUAUUUGGUGUCGUGGGAAAUCAGGACUGUUACUUUGAAAAAAUUAGAGUGUUUAAAGCAGGCUCACGCUUGAAUACAUUAGCAUGGAAUAAUGAAAUAGGAUGUUUGAUUCUAUUUUGUUGGUUUUUAGGAUCGACGUAAUGAUUAAUAGGGAUAGUUGGGGGCAUUAGUAUUCAAUUGUCAGAGGUGAAAUUCUUGGAUUUAUUGAAGACUAACUACUGCAAAAGCAUUUGCCAAGGAUGUUUUCAUUAAUCAAGGACGAAAGUUAGGGAUCGAAGACGAUCAGAUACCGUCGUAGUCUUAACCAUAAACUAUGCCGACUAGGAAUCAGAUGAUGUUAAUUUUUUAAUGACUCA
rnacentral:rRNA from 1 species